UACAGAGGUGGCAAGCGUUGUUCGGAAUUACUGGGCGUAAAGGGCGCGUAGGCGGUUCGUUAAGUCCUGUGUGAAAUCCCCCGGCUCAACUGGGGAACUGCACAGGAAACUAGCGGGCUUGAGUUCGGGAGAGGGAAGCGGAAUUCCGGGUGUAGCGGUGAAAUGCGUAGAUAUCCGGAGGAACACCGGUGGCGAAGGCGGCUUACCUGGACCGACACUGACGCUGAGGCGCGAAAGCUAGGGGAG
rnacentral:rRNA from 1 species